rnacentral:rRNA from 1 species
GACGAACGCUGGCGGCGCGCUUAACACAUGCAAGUCGAGCGAAGCGGCGGACGGGUGAGUAACACGUGAGUAACCUGCCUUAGACAUUGGGAUAGCCUCGGGAAACCGGGAUUAAUACCAAAUGGUCUAAGAUGGACUCGCGUCCCAUUAGCUAGUUGGUGGGUAACGGCCCACCAAGGCGACGAGCAGUAGCCGGUCUGAGAGGAGGAACGGCUACAUGUGAACUGAGACACGGUCCAAACUCUACGGGAGGCAGCAGUGGGGAAUAGUGCACAAUGGGGGGAACCCUGAUGCAGCGACGCCGCGGGAACGAAGAAGGUAUUCGUAGCGUAAAGUUCUGUCCUAUGGGAAGCAGUACCAGAGAAGAAAGCUCCGGCUAAAUACGUGCCAGCAGCCGCGGUAAUUC